GUGGUCGUGGCUCAGUUGUAGAGUGCUUGCCUCACAUGUGUGAGGCACUGGGUUCAAUUCUCAGCACCACA
rnacentral:tRNA from 1 species